UCAAGAAGGUUCCCUCAUAAAAGGACGUUUUUGCCCUCUCUAUAACGGUGGAUGGAUGACAAUUGUAACGGAGGACCAAAUUGGGUAUGAUUUUACAA